rnacentral:rRNA from 1 species
CAGUAGCCACGGUAAUACGUAGGUCCCGAGCGUUGUCCGGAUUUAUUGGGCGUAAAGCGAGCGCAGGCGGUUUGAUAAGUCUGAAGUUAAAGGCUGUGGCUCAACCAUAGUUCGCUUUGGAAACUGUCAAACUUGAGUGCAGAAGGGGAGAGUGGAAUUCCAUGUGUAGCGGUGAAAUGCGUAGAUAUAUGGAGGAACACCGGUGGCGAAAGCGGCUCUCUGGUCUGUAACUGACGCUGAGGCUCGAAAGCGUGGGGAGCGAACAGGAUUAGAUACCCCCGUAGGUCCCUGUCUCUUAUAC